GACGAACGCUGGCGGCGUGCUUAACACAUGCAAGUCGAACGGAAAGGCCCUGCUUUUGUUGGGUGCUCGAGUGGCGAACGGGUGAGAAACACGUGAGUAACCUGCCCUUGACUGUGGGAUAACACCACGAAACUGCGGCUAAUACCGGGUAGGAGAUCCUGCUGCAUGGUGGGGGUUGGUAAGUUUCGGCGGUGCGGGAUGGUAUCGCGGGUUACGCGCUGGUUGGGGUGGUAGUGGCUUACCACGGUUUCGACGGGUAGGCGGCCUGGGAGGGUGGACGGCGACAUGGGGACUGCGAUACGGAGCAGACGGGUACGGGAGGCAGCAGGGGGGAAUAUGGCGGAACGGGGGGGCGCCUGAUGCAGAGGCGCCGGGUGCGGGAUGACGGCUUACGGGGGGUAAACCGCUUUCGCCGGUGACGAAGAGGGAGUGACGGUAAUGGGUAAAGAAGCACCGGCUAACUACGUG
rnacentral:rRNA from 1 species